rnacentral:rRNA from 1 species
UACGGAGGGUGCAAGCGUUGUCCGGAUUCAUUGGGUUUAAAGGGUGCGCAGGCGGGACAUUAAGUCAGGGGUGAAAGACGGUUGCUCAACAAUCGCAGUGCCUUUGAUACUGGUCGUUCUUGGGUGACGGUGAGGUAGGCGGAAUGGGUGGUGUAGCGGUGAAAUGCAUAGAUACCACCCAGAACUCCGAUUGCGAAGGCAGCCUACUGGUCGUUAACCGACGCUCAGGCACGAAAGCGUGGGGAUCAAACAGG